GACGAACGCUGGCGGCGUGCUUAACACAUGCAAGUCGAACGGAAAGGCCCUGCUUUUGUGGGGUGCUCGAGUGUCGAACGGGUGAGUAACACGUGAGUAACCUGCCCUUGACUUUGGGAUAACUUCAGGAAACUGGGGCUAAUACCGGAUAGGAGCUCCUGCUGCAUGGUGGGGGUUGGAAAGUUUCGGCGGUUGGGGAUGGACUCGCGGCUUAUCAGCUUGUUGGUGGGGUAGUGGCUUACCAAGGCAUUGACGGGUAGCCGGCCUGAGAGGGUGACCGGCCACAUUGGGACUGAGAUACGGCCCAGACUGCUACGGGAGGCAGCAGUGGGGAAUAUUGCACGAUGGGCGGAAGCAUGAUGCAGCAACGCCGCGUGCGGGAUGACGGCCUUAGGGUUGUAAACCGCUUUCGCCUGUGACGAAGCGUGAGUGACGGUAAUGGGUAAAGAAGCACCGGCUAACUACGUG
rnacentral:rRNA from 1 species